rfam:Heligmosomoides polygyrus genome assembly, scaffold: HPBE_contig0002757
CAACCUGAGCUCAGGCGUGACUACCCGCCGAACUUAAGCAUAUCAUUUAGCGGAGGAAAAGAAACUAACAAGGAUUCCCUUAGUAACGGCGAGUGAACGGGGAGAAGCCCAGCGCUGAAUCUUUCGGUGUUACACCGUUAAGAAAUGUAGCGUAUAGGUGUGGUUUUCAGUUUGUGCUGCAUGUCCAAAGUCCCUUUGAUAGGGGCCACAUUCCUGAGAGGGUGCGAGACCUGUGCGGGCAGUGGAGCAAGCUGUACGAUCAUACCUUGGAGUCGGGUUGCUUGAAAGUGCAGCCUAAAGUGGGUGAUAAACUUCAUCUAAGGCUAAAUAUAGACGCGAAUUCGAUAGCAAACAAGUACUGUGAAGGAAAGUUGCAAAGAACUUUGAAGAGAGAGUUCAAGAGAACGUGAAAUCGCUGGAGUGGAACCGGAGAGAGUUGACGUAGCCGGGUAACUAAGUCUACUAAUGUCGCUUAAUUGUGACUGCGGGAGAUGUAUGUUGCCUAUGGCUGCGCUGACAGCGCUGGCCGUGCGUUCCGAACCGUUUAGCGUUGCCCACCGUUUCGGCGGUGGUGUCUUGCUGGCGGAUAGGUUUGUCGUGGCUAGCGUUUUUGCCCUACUUCAUUGUAGGGUGUCAGUGUGAAAGUCGACCACCUCUCCGACCCGUCUUGAAACACGGACCGAGGAGUGUAACUUGUACCCGAGUCUAAGGGUAGAAAACCCCAAGGCGUAAUGAAAGUGAAGGUCGUUUAACCGGCUGACAUGGGAUCCGUUUCGUUUACGAAGCAGCGCACCAUGGCCCUGUCUUGUCUGCUUGCAGAUGGGCAGCGGUAGAGCGUACAGGUUGUGACCCGAAAGAUGGUGAACUAUGCCUGAGCAGGACGAAGUCAGAGGAAACUCUGGUGGAAGGCCGUAUCGGUUCUGACGUGCAAAUCGAUCGAUAGACUUGAGUAUAGGGGCGAAAGAUUAAUCGAACCAUCUAGUAUCUGAUUCCCUCCGAAGUCUCCCUAGGAUAGCUGGAGUUCAUAGCGGUUAUAUCCGGUAAAGCGAAUGAUUAGAGGACUUGGGGUCGAAACGAUCUCAAACUAUUCUCAAACUUUCAAUGGGUAUGUUGUCUCGGUUUCUUCAUGAACUGUUGACACGAACGCGAGCUCCAAGUGGACCAUUUUUGGUAAGCAGGACUGGCGCUGUGGGAUGAACCAAACGUUGGGUUAAGGUGCUUAACUUUUUGCUCAUGAGACCCCAUAAAAGGCGUUGGUUGAUAUAGACAGCAGGACGGUAGCCAUGGAAGUCGGUACCCGCUAAGGAGUGUGUAACAAGUCACCUGCCGAAUCAACUAGCCCUGAAAAUGGAUGGCGCUUGAGAGAGAGACCUAUACCCAACCGUUGCUGGCUUGUGCGUUGUCUAGCGCCUGGCCGCAAUGGGUAGGAGGGUCGUGGCGGUUGCGUCGAAGGCUUUGAGCGUAGGCCCAGCUGUAGCUUCCGUCAGUGCAGAUCUCGGUGGUAGUAGCAAAUAUUUAAGUUCGAUCCUUGAAGACUGAAGUGGAGAAGGGUUCGACGUGAACAGUAGUUGAAUGUGGUUCAGUCGAUCCUAAGAUACUGGCUUAUGCCUUGUAUCAUCGAGAGGGAAAAGUCUCUUUUCUCUCGAAUAUCAAUAGGGAAUAGGGUUAAUAUUCCCUAACGUAGACAGAGAGAUUGCGGCUCUUUGAGUCACUUGCUCGGUAACGCAUUCGAACUUGGUUACGUCGCUCAGAGACCGAGCUAGAGUUCUCUUCUCUAGUUAAGGAACAGAAUCCCUGGAAUCGGUUCAGCUGUAGAUAGGGACGUUGUUUCCGUAAAGCAUCGCGGUUUCUGUGAUGUCUCGUGUUCUCUGGACGGCCCUUGAAAAACCAAGGAAGGCUAUUAAUCUGUGCUGCAUCGUACCGAUAUCCGCAUCAGGUCUCCAAGGUGAACAACCUUUAGUCGAUAGAAUAAUGUAGGUAAGGGAAGUCGGCAAAUUAACUACAAAUUAAUUAACCGUAACUUUGGGAAAAGGAUUGGCUCCAGUGUCCGGGUCGGUUGGCCUGUUAACUGAUGCUUGUGCGGUUUCGUCCGUGGCUGGCAGACGCUCACGCUGAUGCUGGACUACUGACAAGACCGCCUCGUGGACGUUUUCAGGUGUGUACAUUGUCUUAGGGCUAAGUAUCCUGACCGACCAUCAAAACGGUCGAACUGGAACGGGUACGGACUCGGGGAAUCCGACUGUCUAAUUAAAACAGAGGAGACAAAAGAUCCUUGCGGACGUUUACUGUCUCUGAUUUCUGCCCAGUGCUCUGAAUGUUAAAUCGUAAUUCGAGUAAACGCGGGUAAACGGCGGGAGUAACUAUGACUCUCUUAAGGUAGCCAAAAGCCUCGUCAGCUAGCUACUGACGAAGGCAGGUUUUUACACAUUUUUUCGAUAAUCGGGUAUUGUUACGUAUCAAUUUGCGUUGACAGAACGUUGCUCGUUGGUGAAUGCAAAUAACGGGAAAAUGAUUCUUAAGCGGUGAAGGCAAACCAAUGCGGUGCACCACGCCUUUUGGACCGCCGUCGGGGAUUCCUUCGGUCGAGGUUAAGAUCAUCGCUGGGAGUUUGCAGGUCGUCAUAGUAUGAGUUCAUAAACUACUAAAAGCCACCAUAAGGGUGUAUUGCAGGGGCUUCAUAGAACGCUGGUCGAUGAAGCUGAAGAGAGUGUUCAAGUGUUUACCCAUGGGGGUGGAAGUAGACUGUUCCUAUCCAAGGCAAAGUGGUUAUGUGGUGAAUCGCAUGUGCAUGGCAGCAUGUACUGCGCGACACUCGGAAGCCACAUAGCUAGGGAUAUGAACGACAGAAGAGCUCCCAUCGUAAGACGUUAGGAGUGUGAGGCAAAACUUCGGCCAGAGGCGUUGCUUUUGACGCCAAAGAAGAGUGCCCCACCAAGAGUGCGGCGUCGGAUGCAAGCUCGACGAUUUCGCAUUAGUAAAACUACUAUCAAGAAACUGCAUCCUCGAUGCUGAGGAAAUGUGCCUUGAAAAGACGCAUAAAAAAUAUUGCAGGACGGCAAACGCCGAUACUUUGCAAAACAAAGUUCCGUUAGCGAGACUGUCGUGCUCGCCUUGUGAAUUCGGACAGAGUUUCACAUGAUAUGCCAACCGAACCCAUCCUCGACAAGGGAACGUGACGUUAAUGCGACACAUACCCGAUGGGUUCAGAAAAAACCUCCGGACGUGAGUGCUGCUCUAAAGUACGACAAAUGUUGUCAAACUGCAUAAAGUCCCCAACGGCCUUUGAGCCCGAGGCGUUAAAACGGUAGUUGUCUGUGCGUGCUUGCCACAAUCGGACAGCGACGACAUCCAUUCGGAAAAGGAGCACGCGGGAAGCGAUUCCCGCGCAAAAGAAGACCAGUAAUCUGGUCCUCGGAGGCAGGGCAAAUCGAGAUACGAGCGUAGAGCGAGGCUCCGCCCCUCAACACGGUGUAGUACCCUUGGGUAUGCUUCAUGUGUCGGCUUGUUCGGCGCUGAAGAUUCGUGGUCUGGGGGAGCGCUCGUCUCGAUGACCCAGUGUGGUCACACUGUGCACCUUCUUCUUCAGCCGUGGCAAAUACGGCGAGAAGACUGACGUGGCAAGUUCAAAUACUUGCAGCUGAAGACUGCACAGCAUCUAUAAUAUUUAGAGGAAUAAAGUCCUAUUAACCGACAUUCCUACUAAAGGACAUAGUCUGCAAAGAUCAUCUCCCAAAAAGAAAGACAAUGCGAGCUUUUAUGGGAAGCCAUAGCUGCUCUCCGGUGGUACUGAGCACAGUAAAGGGAACCCUGAGUUCCCGCACAUCUCUGUACUCAGACCCCAGGGUAGUGUUAGGGGUAACAUCUACAAAGAAGCGUGUAGUAAACAAAUAAGGUCGGAACUCCUUCCGAUUGUGGUUGGAGAGAACUGUGACAGCUAGAUCGUCACAGACGGCCAGUGGGAGAGGUGUGGUGGGCAAACAUAAAAAACGCUGACGCGCAUCCCUGUCUGGGGCCACCUCAGCGUGGUGCAGGGUGAACGCUACCUUUGGUAGUGGCUAACGGCCCUACCGGUUACGCAAUACGCGGCGCAAGCCUAGUAUGGGCCAGGCUCAAGCGUGGGGUGCGAUUUCUGCCAAAAAUUUACGACCCCCCCCCCUCACCAGGAGGGU